GACGAACGCUGGCGGCGUGCCUAAUACAUGCAAGUAGAACGCUGAAGAGAGGAGCUUGCUCUUCUUGGAUGAGUUGCGAACGGGUGAGUAACGCGUAGGUAACCUGCCUGGUAGCGGGGGAUAACUAUUGGAAACGAUAGCUAAUACCGCAUAAAAUGGAUUAUCGCAUGAUAAUCCAUUGAAAGGUGCAAAUGCAUCACUACCAGAUGGACCUGCGUUGUAUUAGCUAGUUGGUGGGGUAACGGCUCACCAAGGCGACGAUACAUAGCCGACCUGAGAGGGUGAUCGGCCACACUGGGACUGAGACACGGCCCAGACUCCUACGGGAGGAAGCAGUAGGGAAUCUUCGGCAAUGGACGGAAGGCUGACCGAGCAACGCCGCGUGAGUGAAGAAGGUUUUCGGAUCGUAAAGCUCUGUUGUAAGAGAAGAAAGAGUGUGAGAGUGGAAAGUUCACACUGUGACGGUAUCUUACCAGAAAGGGACGGCUAACUACGUG
rnacentral:rRNA from 1 species